ACGUGAAGAAUCUGCCUUCAACUCUGGGAUAACUCCGGGAAACCGGGGCUAAUACCGGAUAUGAGCCUUGAUCGCAUGAUCGGGGCUGGAAAGUUUUUCGGUUGAAGAUGACUUCGCGGCCUAUCAGCUUGUUGGUGAGGUAAUGGCUCACCAAGGCGACGACGGGUAGCCGGCCUGAGAGGGCGACCGGCCACACUGGGACUGAGACACGGCCCAGACUCCUACGGGAGGCAGCAGUGGGGAAUAUUGGGCAAUGGAGGAAACUCUGACCCAGCGACGCCGCGUGAGGGAUGAAGGCCUUCGGGUUGUAAACCUCUUUCAGUAGGGAAGAAGCGAAAGUGACGGUACCUACAGAAGAAGCACCGGCUAACUAUGUGCCAGCAGCCGCGGUAAUACAUAGGGUGCAAGCGUUGUCCGGAAUUAUUGGGCGUAAAGAGCUCGUAGGUGGUUCGAUACGUCGGAUGUGAAAAUCAGGGGCUCAACCCCUGACCUGCAUCCGAUACGGUCGAGCUAGAGUUUGGUAGGGGAGACUGGAAUUCCUGGUGUAGCGGUGGAAUGCGCAGAUAUCAGGAGGAACACCGAUGGCGAAGGCAGGUCUCUGGGCCAAUACUGACACUGAGGAGCGAAAGCGUGGGGAGCGAACAGGAUU
rnacentral:rRNA from 1 species